UACGUAGGGUGCGAGCGUUUGUCCGGAAUUAUUGGGCGUAAAGAGCUCGUAGGCGGUGUGUCACGUCGGCCGUGAAAACCUGCAGCUUAACUGUGGGCGUGCGGUCGAUACGGGGCAUCACUGGAGUUCGGCAGGGGAGACUGGAAUUCCUGGUGUAGCGGUGAAAUGCGCAGAUAUCAGGAGGAACACCGGUGGCGAAGGCGGGUCUCUGGGCCGAUACUGACGCUGAGGAGCGAAAGCGUGGGGAGCAAACAGG
rnacentral:rRNA from 1 species